rnacentral:rRNA from 1 species
GGGGCUAAACCAUGCACCGAAGCUGCGGCAGCGACACUAUGUGUUGUUGGGUAGGGGAGCGUUCUGUAAGCCUGCGAAGGUGUACUGUGAGGUAUGCUGGAGGUAUCAGAAGUGCGAAUGCUGACAUAAGUAACGAUAAUGCGGGUGAAAAAACCCGCACGCCGGAAGACCAAGGGUUCCUGUCCAACGUUAAUCGGGGCAGGUGAGUCGACCCCUAAGGCGAGGCUGAAAAGCGUAGUCGAUGGGA